rnacentral:rRNA from 1 species
UACGUAGGUGGCGAGCGUUGUCCGGAUUUACUGGGCGUAAAGAGCGCGCAGGCGGUCGUUCAAGUCGCGUGUGAAAGCCCCCGGCUCAACUGGGGAGGGUCACGCGAUACUGAUCGACUCGAAGGCAGGAGAGGGUAGUGGAAUUCCCGGUGUAGUGGUGAAAUGCGUAGAUAUCGGGAGGAACACCAAUGGCGAAGGCGACUACCUGGCCUGUUCUUGACGCUGAGGCGCGAAAGCUAGGGGAGCAAAGCGGG